GUUGCUAAGUGGUUGCUAGGCAGUUGCUAACGUAUUCUAGGUGGUUGCUAGGCAGUUGCUAAGUGGUUGCUAGGCAGUUGCUAACGUUUUCCAAGUGGUUGCUAGGCAGUUGCUAAGUGGUUGCUAGGUAGUUGCUAACAUAUUCCAGGUGGUUGCUAGGCAGCUGCUAAGUGGUUGCUAGGCAGUUGCUUACGUUUUCCAGGUGGUUGCUAAGUGGUUGCUAGGCAGUUGCUAACGUUUUCCAGGUGGUUGCUAGGCAGUUGCUAAGUGGUUGCUAGGCAGUUGCUAACGUUUUCCAAGUGGUUGCUAGGCAGUUGCUAAGUGGUUGCUAGGCAGUUGCUAACGUUUUCCAGGUGGUUGCUAAGUGGUUGCUAGGCAGUUGCUAACAUUUUCCAGGUGGUUGCUAGGCAGUUGCUAAGUUGUUGCUAGGCAGUUGCUAACGUUUUCCAGGUGGUUGCUAAGUGGUUGCUAGGCAGUUGCUAACAUAUUCCAGAUGGUUGCUGAGCGGUUGUGAUCAUUUCUAAAGUGGUUGCUAGGCAGUUGCUAAUGUUUACCAGGUGGUUGCUAAGGUGUUGAUAACUGGUUGCUAGGUUGUUGCUAUCAUUUCUAAAAUGGUUGAAGUAGAGAAAAAGAGAGAGUGUUAAAUGUAGAAGUACAGAAAAAGGGAGAGCAAGAAAUAAAGAAGUAGGGAGAAAACCGCGAGAAAAAGAGAAAGAACACGCGAGAAUGUGAGAAAAAGAGUGACAAGUUGAGAGAAAUAUUGAGCGAGAAAAAGAGAAUUAGAGAAAAAGGGACAUCGAGAAAUAAAGAAGUAGAGAAAGGAAGAGGAAGUAGUAGAGAGAUAGAUAGAAAGAGAAAGCAAGACAUAGAAAAGUAGAGUGAAAGAGAAGUAGAGAGAAGAGCGAGAAAUAAAGAAAGAGUAAGAGAGAAUAGAGAAAUAGAAAAGUAGCGAGAAAGAGAAAUUGAGACGUAGAGAGAGAGAGUGAGAGAGAAAGAAAGAGUGAGAAAUAGAGAAGUAGAGAGUAAAAGAGAGAGUGAGAAAUAGAGACGUAGAGAGAGAGUGAGAAAGAGAGUGAGAAAUUCAGAAGUAGAGUGAGAAAGAGAGUGAGAAAUAGAGAAGUAGAGAGCAAAAGAGAGUGAGAAAUAGAGAAGUAGAGAGAGAGAGUGAGAAAGAGAGAGUGAGAAAUAAAGAAAUGUAAAGAGCAAAAGAGAGAGUGAGAAAUAGAGAAGUAGAGAGAAAAAGAUAUAGAGACAUAGAGCGUGAGAAAGAGAUAAGUAGAGAGCAAAAGAGAGUGAGAAAGAGAAGUAGAGAGCAAAAGAGAGAGUGAAAAAUAGAGAAGUAGAGAGAGUGAGAAAGAGAGUGUGAGAAAUAGAGACGUAGAGAGAGUGAGAAAGAAAGAGUGAGAAAUAGAGAAGUAGAGAGCAAAAGAGAGUGAGAAAUAGAGAAGUAGAGAGCAAAAGAGAGAGUGAGAAAUAGAGAAGUAGAGAGAGUGAGAAAGAGAGUGUGAGAAAUAGAGACGUAGAGAGAGAGUGAGAAAGAAAGAGUGAGAAAUAGAGAAGUAGAGAGCAAAAGAGAGUGAGAAAUAGAGAAGUAGAGAGCAAAAGAGAGAGUGAGAAAUAGAGACGUAGAGAGAGUGAGAAAGAGAGAAGUAGAGAGCAAAAGAGAGAGUGAGAAGUAGAGAGCAAAAGAGAGAGCGAGAAGUAGAGAGCAAAAGAGAGAGUGAGAAAUAGAGAAGUAGAAAGCAAAAGAGAGUGUGAGAAGUAGAGAGCAAAAGAGAGAGUGAGAAAUAGAGAAGCAGAGAGCAAAAGAGAGAGUGAGAAGUAGAGAAGUAGAGAGCAAAAGAGAGAGUGAGAAGUAGAUAAGUAGAGAGCAAAAGAGAGAGUGAGAAACAGAGAAGUAGAGAGCAAAAGAGAGAGUGAAAAGUAGAGAGAGAGUGAGAAAGAGAGAGUGAGAGAAGUAGAGAGAGAGUGAGAAAGAGAGAGUGAGAGAAGUAGAGAGAGAGUGAGAAAGAGAGAGUGGUUGCUAAGCAGUUAAUAGGUGGUUGCAAAGCCCUGGCUGGGGUGCCGGGGUGUCCAAACUUUUGACUGAUAGCUGCUCCAUACAGCAGCUCCUCCAUACACUCACAGUACUGGAGGAGCAGGGGAGAGAAGGGGUUCCGUGCGCAGAGCUGCUCGUGUGCGAGAUGGAACUCUGGGCCCCCCAUUCAUUUCUAUGGGAAAACUUCGUACGAAAAUUGUACGAAAACCGUACGUCGUAUCGCUUCGCAACCUGCUAUUAAUUUAAAGAUCUCGGUAAGAUCUAUAAGCUCGCCAAAUUUGGUCUUCGUAUCUCAAAAAUUGUGGCGGUUACGGACGUUUAAAAUUUCGCCCCAUUCAUUCCUAUGGGGAAAAAAUGCGUACGUUUACGAAGUUUUUACGAAAACCGUACGAUAAAUCGCUCCAAAAAGCACAAGCACGCUAAGUUGGCAUAGGUCCUACGAUCCGUGAAAGUUUCGUGAUUCUACGUUGAAAGCUCUAGGAGGAGUAGCGUACAGAAAAAAAGGCGUAA